rnacentral:lncRNA from 10 species
ACUCUGUUGUCCAGACUGGAGUUCUGUGGCAUUAAUGUGGCUCACUGCAACCUCGAACUCCUGGCUUCAAGCAAUCCUCCUGUCUCAGCUUCCCAAGUAGCUAAGAGUACAGGUGUGUGCCCCAUGCCCAGAUAAUUAAAAAAAAAAAAAACAUUUUGUAGAGAUAGGGUUUUGCUAUGUUGCCCAGGUGGGUCUUGAACUCUUGGCCUUAAGCAGUCAUCCCACCUUGAUCUUCCAAGUCAUUGGGAUUGCAGGCAUGAGCCACUGUGCCCAGCCUAAUCUUUGUGCAAAGAUGUUAGGGGGCAGAGGGCUGGCAAUCUCCUGGGGAUGACAUGCAGAAAGUCAAACACCACUGUGAUGGUUAAUACUGAGUGUCAACUUGAUUGGAUUGAAGGAUACAAAGUAUUGAUCCUGAGUGUGUCUGUGAGGGUGUUGCCAAAAGAAAUUAACAUUUGAGUCAGUGGGCGGGGGAAGGCAGAUCCACCCUUAAUCUGGUGGGCACAAUCUAAUCAGCUGCCAGCGAAUAUAAAGCAGGUAGAAAAACGUGAAAAGGAAAGAGGGGCCUAGCCUCCUAACUUACAUCUUUCUCCCAUGCUGGAUGCUUCCUGCCCUCAAACAUCGGACUCCACAUUCUUCAGUUCUGGGACUCAGACUGGCUCUUCUUGCUCCUCUGCUUGCAGACAGCCUGUUGUGGAACCUUGUGAUCAGGUUGGGCUGGAAAAUCCAUUUCUCACGGUUCCAAAGGCUGGGAAGCCAGGGUCAAGGUCCUGCAGAUCCAGUGUCUGGCGAAGCCCUUCUUCCGGGUUUGGAAAUGGCUGCCUUCUCCUUCUAUCCUCACACGGCAGAGAGAGAAAGAGACUGUGAGAAACAGAGGAAGUACUCCAGGGAGUUCUGCAAUGUCUUCUAAAAGGAUGCUAAUCACAUCAUGGGGGCUCCAUCUUUGUGACCUAAUCACUUCCCAAAGGCCCCACAUCCUAAUACCGUCACAUGGGAAGUGAGGGUUUCAACAUGUGAAUUUGUGAGGGGACACAAACAUUCAGUCCAUGGCACUAACAUACCCAACACCAGAAUCUGAGUGGAGAGUUUCAUCUGGGUGAUAUCCCUUCAGUUUGUGUAAAGCCCUGAACUCCACCUCGUCUUUCUCAGCUGCUUUUCCUGUUUUCUCUGCCAUGGUGAUGCUGCUGCCUUCCACUCAAGUUAUGAGAAGACAGGGUCCCACAGUUUACCAUCUGCUUCUGUCACCCGUCUUGAGUUGGUCACAAAUUCCUACUGAUGAUACCACACAAAGGACUCCUGGGCAUGUCGUCUCCUCUCUUGAAAACAUAGGGUCUUAGUCCAGGUCUUCAUUUAUGCAUUCGUCCAACAUUUCCUGUUUUACUUUCUUUCAUGGUGUUCUCCAUGGUGGUGAUUAAAUAAGCUUCCUAAAAUACAGAAAAAAUAAUGUCAUUAUUUGCUUAAAAACUCCCCAUUUCUUCUCCAUUGCUCAUUUUUUAAAUAACACAUUUUUGUUAUUGUGGCAGGAUACGCAUAACAAAAUGACCAUUCUGAGUGCACAGUUCUGGGGUACUGAGUCCAUUCACAUGGUUGUGCAACCAUCACCACCACUCAUCUCUAGAAUGCUUUCCAUCCUUCAAAACCGAAACUUCGUACUCAUUAAACAAUUCCCCACUUCUCUCUCCCCUCAGAACCUGGCAACCACCAUUUAACUUUUUGUCUCUGUGAGUUUGACUAUUCUGGAUAUCUCAUAUAAGUGGAGUCACACGUUGUCUUUUUGUGACUGGUUUAUUUCACUUGGUUUAAUGUCUUAAGGUUCAUCCCUGUUGUGGCACAUUGCUGUGAUUUGAAUGGGUCACCUUGAAAAUCCAGGUGUUAUCAAUGUGGUACUAUUAAGAGGUGGGGGUUUUAGGUGGUGAUUAGAUCAAGAGAGCUCUUCCAUCAUGAGUGAGAUUAGGUGCCCUUAUAAAAGGACUUCAUGAAGGAGUUUGUCCCCCUUUUGCCCUUCUUCCUUUUGCCAUGUAAGAACACAGUGCUCCUCCCUUCUGGAGGCUGCAGCAAUAAGGCCUCCUCUUGGAAGUAGAGAGCCACCCUGAACCAGAUGCUGAAUCUGCUGGCAUCUUGAUCUUGGACUUAUAGCUCCCAGAACUAUAAGAAAUAAAUUUCUGUUCAUUAAUAAUUACCAGUUUUUGGUAUUUUGUCAUAGCAGCGCAAGCAGACCAAGACACAUAUAUAAGGAUUUCUUCCUUUUGAUGGGUGAAUAAUAUUCCAUUGUAUGUGUAGAGUACAUUUCAAUUAUUCUAUCAUCCAUAGGUGGACCUGAGAGGUUGCUUCCAUAUUUUGACUAUUGCAAAUAAUGCUGCUAUGAACAUGAGUAUACAGAUAUUUGGGUCCGUGCUUUCAUUCCUCUUGGGUAUAUACCUAGAAGUAGAAUUUCUGGAUUGUAUGGUAAUUCUAUAUUUAAUAUUUUCAAGAACUGCCACGCUGUUUUCCGCAGCUGCUGCACCAGUUUACCUUCCCACCAACAGUGCUCAAGGGUUUCAAUUUCUCUACAUUCUUGCUAACACUUGUUAUUUUCUGUUACUUAUUUAGUUUUUUAUUUUUGAUAAUAGUCUAAUGAGUGUGAGGUUGUAUCUCAUCGUGGUUUGAUUUCCAUUUUCCAUUAUAACUAGUGAUGUUGAAGAUCUUUUCGGGUAGUUACUGGUCAUUUGUAUAUCUGUCUUGGAGAAAUAUCUAUUCAAGUCCUUUGCCCAUUUUUCG